rnacentral:rRNA from 1 species
AGGUCAAGCUAAUAAGAGCGCAAGGGGAAUGCCUUGGCAUCAGGAGCCGAUGAAGGACGUGGCAAGCUGCGAUAAGCUUCGGGGAGGCGCAAACAGCCUUUGAUCCGGAGAUUUCCGAAUGGGGAAACCCGGCAGUGCAAUACACUGUCAUCCUGCGUUGAAUCAAAUAGGCGUAGGAAGGGAACCGCCUGAACUGAAACAUCUAAGUAGGGCGAGGAAGAGAAAUCAACCGAGAUUCCGCUAGUAGUGGCGAGCGAACGCGGAAGAGGGCAAACCGGUGGAUUUAUCCACCGGGGUUGUGGACAGUCAUUUAGCAGAAGUUAUCUAGGAGAACGGCAUGGGAAGGCCGGCCAUAGCGGGUGACAGCCCCGUAUCCGAAAGAGAAGGCUGUGAGACUGGAUCCAGAGUACCGCGGGACACGUGAAACCCCGUGGGAAGCUGGGGGGACCACCCUCCAACCCUAAAUACUACCUGAUGACCGAUAGUGGAGCAGUACCGUGAGGGAAAGGUGAAAAGGACCCCGAGAGGGGAGUGAAAUAGAACCUGAAACCUUGUGCUUACAAGCACUCAAAGCCCGUUAAAGGGUGAUGAGGUACCUUUUGUAGAAUGGUCCGGCGAGUUAUUGUUACUGGCAAGGUUAAGGUAUUCAGUACCGGAGCCGCAGCGAGAGCGAGUCUGAAUAGGGCGUAUGAAGUCAGUGGCAAUAGACCCGAAACCGGGUGACCUAUCCAUGAGCAGGUUGAAGUGGAGGUAAAACUCCAUGGAGGACCGAACGCACGCUCGUUGCAAUGAUCGGCGAUGACUUGUGGAUAGCGGUGAAAUUCCAAUCGAACCCGGAGAUAGCUGGUUCUCCCCGAAAUAGCUUUAGGGCUAGCGUUGUUUUAGAUUACUGGAGGUAGAGCACUGAAUGGGCUAGGGGGCGAUAAGCUUACUGAACCCUAUCAAACUUCGAAUGCCAGCUAAUUGAUGAACAGCAGUCAGACUGUGUGAGAUAAGUCUCAUAGUCAAAAGGGAAACAGCCCAGACCCACAGCUAAGGUCCCAAAUAUACGCUAAGUGGAAAACGAUGUGGAGUUGCGAAAACAACCAGGAUGUUGGCUUAGAAGCAGCCACUCAUUAAAAGAGUGCGUAAUAGCUCACUGGUCGAGUGACUCUGCGCGGAAAAUGUAACGGGGCUAAGCGUAUAACCGAAGCUUGGGCUUGUCGUAAGACAGGGGUAGGGGAGCGUCGAAUAUGGGGUGAAGUCGCAUCGGAAGGAGCGGUGGACUGUAUUCGAGUGAGAAUGCCGGAAUGAGUAGCGAGAAUCAUGUGGGAAUCAUGAUGGCCGAAAAUCUAAGGUUUCUUGGGGAAGGUUCGUCCGCCCAAGGUAAGCCGGGAGCUAAGGCGAGGCCGAAAGGCGUAGUCGAUGCACAUACGGUUGAAAUUCCGUAGCCACCGAACUUUAAGCACACUGACACUUUGGAAUAGCCGAACCCGGGCGUUGGUUGACCCGGGCGUAAGGGACCGAAAUAUAGUAGGGAAGUCGGCGAUGUCCAGAGGCGAGAAAAGGUGUGAGGUAUACUAAGGUGCCCGUACCGCAAACCGACACAGGUAGAUGAGGAGAGAAUCCUAAGGCCAACGGGAGAAGGGUUGUUAAGGAACU